UGGUCGUCUGAACCGCUAACCACUGAUGGUUUUUAUAGAACGUACACAUCGAUAAUACUUGGCCUAUUUCAUUUGUGCCACAAAAGGAGAUCAAGGUGAUUUUGCCGCUAAUAAUAUGUUGCACACGCACAGUGCGUUUGAGCUUCUAAUGACAAUGACCCAGAAACAACAACAACAACAACCGUACUGCAGCUAUCAUGAAAAAGUAACUUGGCCACACUGAACCGAUAACUUUUUACAAGCUAGCGUAGUUAUGUGGAAACGCUCCCGUGUUAGAUUAGCUGUUACUCAGAGAUGUGCAUAUUUAAAAGUAAAUAUACCAUCGACAU